UGCUGGAGCGGUUUAGGUACUUGACCGAAGAAGCUCCAGACCCUCAUGUGAGGUGGCCUUGGUUUCUGGGUAAAAUGCUUCACUAUCUUUGUCUAUCUUUUUUUGUGUUUUAUGAGAAAUUGGUGAUGAUUGGAAAAGUGAGCAAAAUGAAAGAUGGAAUCUUUGGGCUUGUGUUGAAUUGGGGUCUUGGUAGUGUGGAAUCAUUGUAUUGUUAAAACUUGUACUGGGAAUUUUCCAUUUGGUAUAGGCUCGGCAUCCUUUGUAGCCCAAUUUCAAUUUGAUAGAUUUGAAAAAGAAUUAGUAGAGAGUCUUGUAGAUAUUCCUUUAAAGAAGAUGGUUUGAGUUUAAAAAGAGUUGUGCAAUAGAGGUUAAGGACGCUAUUAGGCAAUUACAAGUGCUGGCAAUGUGUAAUGGAUUGGAAGCAAAUGGUUGUGAAAAGCUUCUUGUGUUAUUGCGAGAUGGGCAAAAGGUGUCGGGAUUACUACGGUGAACUGGUGCGGUAAACGGUAGCAACAAGCAAACGGGUGGAUGGAAGAGGCAUGGAAAAGAGAGAGAUGGACAACAGACAUGUAUAAAAGAGUUUGUGAUGCAACCCCAAGCAAAAGUGGAAGUUCAUGCAGUUCAAACGAUAAGGAGUUUCAUGCUUAAGUGACUCGUAUUGGAUAAGCCAUCACUUAUCACAAAACCAACACCAACAGAGCCCCAUGUUUCAUCUAGCCUUUGUAGAGCCCAUAUCAAGAUUCAAGCGUGAAGGUCGCGGUCACUGAAAUCAAUAUCGAGGAGCUGACGAAGGCUUAGCCUUCGCAGAAACCAUACCAAUGCCGAUGGUGUAGGCGAAGACGAUGAAGGCGUUGAGGACAUGCUGUAAGAUCUUCGGUUAGCGAAUUUGAAGAAUUAUCUCAUCCUAUCUCCCAUCAUCUUGGCUGGUAAGUCCUUGUUAUAAUUACAAAUAUUUUUUAUAUCUAGAUGUAAGAUAUCUGAUAUUGCUAUGACAAUUAUUUUCUAGUAGAGGACGGUUACUGAGGCUGGUCUUUAAUUGAAACUUGAAAGACAUCGGGUUGAACUGGUAUAUGGUAAUCAACUAGGUUAAUAGGGUUUCUAUGAAUGGAGUAUGCAUGAAUUUUUUCCUUCAAUUUAUUAAGUUUAAGAAGUUGUACUACUGUUCACUUGCAAGUAGCCAAAAACCAAAUUUGAAAUUGAUCGUUGUUGUUGUUAGUAGAUGUGUUAAGUAAGAUCCUAGUAAUGUAACGAAAAUUAAUCCUGGAAAAUAACAGGAACGAAAGCAAAAAAUUAUUUUUCUUGUCAUCAACUCCCAAUUUGUGGUUGUACAAGAUUGUCUCAUUCACUAUCCAAAACCCAAACAAAGACGAUUGGGUGACCAAAUCAGAUUGACACCAAAGAUAAAUACAAUGAAAGCAUGUAUAAACUAGUCAUCCUAUUAAUUUGUACAGGAUAGUAUGAUAACUUAUUUGAUCUGUAAUGGAGAUUAAUCGGAAAUGUUUAGGCUUUUCUUAUUUUAUUUUAUUUUAUUUUUUGCUGUUUUAUAACAAUGCUAGUUAAUACUUCUGUCAUUCUUAUCCUGAUGCAGGAGCAUCCAAGAGGCUUUCCAAUUUAGUUUAGGGUUACAGUAGUUCUUGUCAGGGUUUUGUUUCCUUUCCCAGUUCAGAGGGCUACGGUAUAAUAUUUGGGCAGUUUUGGUUGGAUGGGAGGUGGUACAGAUGUGCCUACUAGAAAAAUUCUCAGUUAGUUUUGAUUGGAUAGGGGAAUAUGUACCUACUAGACUAGGCUUGUUGAACCUUCAACUGUUAUGCUAUAUUUUCCGAACGAAGUUAUUGUAUGUAUACAUAUAUUUAAGUAUACUGUGGUUUUAUGUCUAGCAGAUUCCAAACUGAUGCGGUUUA